rnacentral:rRNA from 1 species
GCGGCGUGCCUAAUACAUGCAAGUCGUACGCUUCUUUUUCCACCGGAGCUUGCUCCACCGGAAAAAGAAGAGUGGCGAACGGGUGAGUAACACGUGGGUAACCUGCCCAUCAGAAGGGGAUAACACUUGGAAACAGGUGCUAAUACCGUAUAACAAUCGAAACCGCAUGGUUUUGAUUUGAAAGGCGCUUUCGGGUGUCGCUGAUGGAUGGACCCGCGGUGCAUUAGCUAGUUGGUGAGGUAACGGCUCACCAAGGCCACGAUGCAUAGCCGACCUGAGAGGGUGAUCGGCCACAUUGGGACUGAGACACGGCCCAAACUCCUACGGGAGCGAGCAGUAGGGAAUCUUCGGCAAUGGACGAAAGUCUGACCGAGCAACGCCGCGUGAGUGAAGAAGGUUUUCGGAUCGUAAAACUCUGUUGUUAGAGAAGAACAAGGAUGAGAGUAACUGUUCAUCCCUUGACGGUAUCUAACCAGAAAGCCACGGCUAACUACGUGCCAGCAGCCGCGGUAAUACGUAGGUGGCAAGCGUUGUCCGGAUUUAUUGGGCGUAAAGCGAGCGCAGGCGGUUUCUUAAGUCUGAUGUGAAAGCCCCCGGCUCAACCGGGGAGGGUCAUUGGAAACUGGGAGACUUGAGUGCAGAAGAGGAGAGUGGAAUUCCAUGUGUAGCGGUGAAAUGCGUAGAUAUAUGGAGGAACACCAGUGGCGAAGGCGGCUCUCUGGUCUGUAACUGACGCUGAGGCUCGAAAGCGUGGGGAGCAAACAGGAUUAGAUACCCUGGUAGUCCACGCCGUAAACGAUGAGUGCUAAGUGUUGGAGGGUUUCCGCCCUUCAGUGCUGCAGCUAACGCAUUAAGCACUCCGCCUGGGGAGUACGACCGCAAGGUUGAAACUCAAAGGAAUUGACGGGGGCCCGCACAAGCGGUGGAGCAUGUGGUUUAAUUCGAAGCAACGCGAAGAACCUUACCAGGUCUUGACAUCCUUUGACCACUCUAGAGAUAGAGCUUCCCCUUCGGGGGCAAAGUGACAGGUGGUGCAUGGUUGUCGUCAGCUCGUGUCGUGAGAUGUUGGGUUAAGUCCCGCAACGAGCGCAACCCUUAUUGUUAGUUGCCAUCAUU